AACUACGCUGAUCGUACGGUCUCGUACCGACGACAUAUCCUUCAAGUGUCUGCCUUAUCAACUGUCGAUGGUAGUUUACACGCCUACCAUGGUUGUAACGGGUAACGGAGAAUAAGGGUUCGACUCCGGAGAGGGAGCCUGAGAAACGGCUACCACAUCCAAGGAAGGCAGCAGGCGCGCAAAUUACCCACUCUCAGAACGAGGAGGUAGUGACGAAAAAUAACGAGACAGUUCUCUAUGAGGUCUGUCAUCGGAAUGGGUACAAUUUAAACCCUUUAACGAGGAUCUAUUGGAGGGCAAGUCUGGUGCCAGCAGCCGCGGUAAUUCCAGCUCCAAUAGCGUAUAUUAAAGUUGUUGCGGUUAAAAAGCUCGUAGUUGGAUCUGCGGUCGUAGACUCUAGUUCCCUUCUAGGGAUACUAGCAGUCUCGACCUACCUUGUUAGAUUUCUCUUGGUGCUCUUUACUGAGUGCCUCGAGUGUCUAGCUCGUUUACUUUGAAAAAAUUAGAGUGCUUAACGCAGGCAUUUGCCUGAAUAGUGGUGCAUGGAAUAAUGGAAUAGGACCUCGGUUCUAUUUUGUUGGUUUUCGGAGCAUGAGGUAAUGAUUAAGAGGGACAGACGGGGGCAUUCGUACUGCUACGCUAGAGGUGAAAUUCUUGGACCGUAGCAUGACGAACAACUGCGAAAGCAUU
rnacentral:rRNA from 1 species